rnacentral:lncRNA from 1 species
UGGCACAUUACUAAAAUCUGACACUAGAGUUUACUUACUGAUUACGGCGUUGCAGAUCAACAGCGCAUAGUUUAAGCAUCAUUAGACAGUGAAUUGAGUAUAACUUGAAUCCCAUGCUGUGGUUGAACUGUGAUACGAGGUGUGGGUGAGUGAACAUAGGCAGGGGAGAGAGAAAUGGUGUAUCUUUGUAGAAUCAUGGAAAGAGCAGUCUUUGUUUCAUUGAUUGCAAAGGUCAUCCCGACACAAGCUCGAGGUCCCAUUCCGAAAGGAAUAAAUGCAGCCGCAUUGUACUUGGUAGCUUUCGCGAUCCCUUCCUUGAACCUCUCCGGUUUGAAAACAUGGGCAUCAUCUCCCCAUAACUGAGGGUCAUGGUGAAGUGCCAUGUUUGGGAUCCAAACAUCUACUUUGGCAGGCAGGACUAGCUUUCCCACUUGAACUUGUCUUCUAGCUCUUCUUACCAACCCAUUUAUGGGAGCAUACAAUCGUAGAGUUUCAUUAAUGAUCAUACUCAUCUGUUUGCAAAAGUUAUAUUUUAGUUACAUUUAAAUGAGAAACAAUAAUACAAGAACAAUUAAGCUGUCAGAUUUGCUAACGAUUUUGAGUUUGGCAAGGCCUUCGGAGUGUGGAUUUUGGCUACCAAAUAUCUCCAUCACCUCUCUUCUUGCUUUGUCUUGCCAAUCACUAUGGAUAGCUAAAACCAGCACUGCCCAAGCAAGCAAGGCAUUAACAGUUUCUUGUCCAGCAAAAUAAAAUGUUUUGCACUCAUCAACUAAAUCUUCCAUUGAAAUCUUGUUUUUUUUAUCCGGAUUAUUAAACGCUUUUACUAAUAAUCCCAGAAAAUCACUGCCGAAGCUCUCUGCUUCUCCACUCGCAACUUUGUUUUCUCUUUUCUUCACAAUCUCUAUCACCAAAUCUUUUAUUUCUCUAGCAAGUUUCUCUGACCCUACGUCAUCGUCAGUUUUCCAAAACUUGCUGCAAAAUCAAAUCGAUGUCAACAAACAGUAACUAUUAUGUUUAUUCACGAGGCUCAAACUCGAGAACUUACAUGUACUAAUCUCUUUAACACUCAACCAACAUAAACAAACAUACCUGAGGAUUGGAAUCCUAGACUUGUUUGAAUUGCGGCUCACAAUAUCUGCGAGCUUCUUCAACAUGUAAAAAAUCUUCUCUCCUUCCAAGUAACUGCUACCAAAAGCUGUUCUUGAUAUGACUUCUGAAGUCAACAUUCUAAAUUCUUGGAACACUUGUCUAGCAUUGUUUCAACGCUGGCAAUUACUGCUGGAGUCAUGUUCUGCCGAAACCAUCCUCCAAUGUGUUAAAUGUAACCAAGAAUUAAUAACUCAAAUCACCCACAAGAUUUUACCUUUAAGCUCUCCCCAUGGAAAACAUAGUUGGCCAACUUCCUCUGCUUCGCCCAUUUUUCUCCUUCAGUUGUAACAAGCCCAUCCCCCACUAGCCUGCUAAUAUAGAUGGGGGGUUCCCUUUUCGGAAAAGUUUGUUCACUAUUUUUAAGAACCUCUUUUAUUAGUUCUGGGUCAGUAGUCACCACCUGAGCUUGAACACCGUCCCAAGAAAGAUAGUUCUUCCCUAAUCAACUCAAUUUAAAAAAAAAAAAACCAAUUAUUUCUGGAAACUAGAAGUUAGAAUCAUAGUGAAAAAAAAUGCAUUCAAUUUGUUGUUUGUCACUCACCGUAUAAGUUGAUCCAGGAGUAAACAUGAGGGAAAACUCUGGGAAGUAUGUCAUGUGUCAGCCCCAUAGGUUUGCUUAAUGCUUCACUUCUCAUUUUGUUAAUUUGUUUGUUGCAUCCAUGGAUAAACUUGUAAGGAGGCCCUUGAAGUCCCUGUGAAUUCAAGAAGUGUUCUAUACGGAGAGGCACCCACCAGUAGUCAUACAGAACUUUGAGUAAAACUAUGAGUGAGUAAAUCAGGAAUGAGCUUGCCAAAAGGAUUAAAAGCUUCACCCUCACAUCCAUCAUUUCCUUUUGAUCUUGAAAAUGAAUUCAGAUCGAGUCUUCUAUAAAUAGAGGAUUGGGUUAAGUUGUUUUCACAACCCAGCUCUAAUUUGUAAGGAUAUUCAGGUGUAUAUGAACGAUGGAUCACUGACGUAUCUUGCCUGUCUUUUUGUGAAUCACGAAAACUACUGAGAAAUCAUAGAAAAAAAUUUAUACUUAUUUUGUGGAUAUCUCGUGUUAUUGAAAAAGAACACACCUCAUACAACGUAAUGAUUUGUCUUUUACACGCAAUGAUUUUCAUAUUUUAAAAUAGCUCUUUUACCGGCAAAUUACUAAUAAAAGCCUUGUUUUUUUUAAAUUUAUCGAAAUGGGCCAGGUCAGAAAUUAUUAAUCGGAAUAGGCCAAUUUACAAAACGCGUCCACGUCAGCGCAUUGUCAGGGGAAAAAGCAAGAAAACGCUUCUUCAAGGAAGCGCUUUGCCUACGUGGACAGAAAACGCUUCCUUGAGGGCGCUCUUUCUGUCCACGUAGGCAAAGCGCUUCCUUGAGGAAGCGUUUUCCCCGUGUUUUUAUUAGGGUUUUUUGCAAUUAGGGUUAGGGUUUUGAGAAUUUUAGGUUAUUAAAUUUUAGGGUUUUAAGGAAAAAAAUUAAAUAAAUUAAGGUUUAGUGUUUGUUAAUUAAAUUAAUUACUAAUUUUAAAAAAAUUAGAUUAUGGUUUAGUGUUUAUGGUUUUUAAGGAAAAAAUCAAAUAAAUUAGGAUUUAGGGUUACUUGAGUAAAUUAAUUAUAAAUUUUAAAAAAAUUAGAUUAGGAUUUUAGGGUUUAGGGUUUAGGGUAUUUAAGAAAAAACUCAAAAUUCUCAAAACCCUAACCUUAAUUACAGAAAACCCUAAUAAAAACACAGGGAAAACGCUUCCUCAAGGAAGCGCUUUGCCUACGUGGACAGAAAGCGCGCCCUCAAGGAAGCGUUUUCUAUCCACAUAGGCAAAGCGCUUCCUUGAGGAAGCGUUUUCCUGCAUUUUCCCCUGACAACGCGCUGACGUGGACGCGUUUCGUAAAAAUUGGGCCAUUCCGGUUAAUAAUUUCUGACCUGACCCAUUUCGGUAAAUUUAAAAAAAAUGGGGCUUUUAUUGGUAAUUUGCCCCUCUUUUACUUGUAUAUUAAAAAUAAUAAUAAAUUACCAAAAUGGUAUCCCAAAAUAGUAUGGUGUGAAUGGCACCAACUUUAUUUUUUAACUCCAAUCAACAGGGGUGAGCGUUCGAUCGAAUCAAAUGAAAAAAUUUCGAGUUAAUCGAGUUUACGAAUCAUAUUUUAUCAUCCUAAUUUGAUUUGAAAUUUUUUAGAAUCGAGUCAAGUGAGAUGGAAAUCGAAUCGAAUCGAAUAUAUUUAUUCGAGUUAAAUUUUAAAAAAUAAUUUUGGGUCCUUAUAACCACUUUCACCCAUUGUAAUAAAAUUUAUCCACCUUAAUCAAAUUUUUUAUUCACUUUCAUCACCUCAUAAUUAAUUUAUUUAUUAAACUUUUAUAUACGGGUUAACUUAUUUGCUUGCUUAGUAGUUUCAAUUAUCUUCAGAUUCUUGUCCUUAUGUAUUUUAAAAUUAAAAAAUAUAUUAAAUGUAAAAAUGUAAUUCUUUUAAUAAAAGUUAUUUUAAAGAUAAAAUGUGAAAUUGUUACCAAUAUAAAAUUUUAACACGAAUAUUUUAUGGCAUAAUUAAUAAUUCAAUUUUAAUAUAAAUAUUCAAUAUGACUAAAUAAUAUAAAUAAUAUAAAAUGUGAAAUUUAAUUUAAUAAUAUAAAUAGUAGAUAUAAAUAAAAUUAUUACUAUUUAUGUUUAGUAAUUUUUUUUGGAUAAUUUUGAUUUUUUAUUUGAGAGUAGGGUGAGAAGUAAAAGUUUAGAGAGAAAUUAAAAAGUUUUGGGGAAUAAAAGUUUGAGGGAAAGUAUAUAGGAAGAGUAAAAUUUUGGAGGGAAAAUAUUAAAAAAAAAUUGGAGGGGGGAGGGUUUGGGGUAGAUGGGAAGUGGAAUGGGAAGGGAGUAAAAGUUUUAGGGAGAAAAUGGGAGGGAGUAAAAAUUUUGGGGGAAAAUAAAAAGUUUUGAGGUUUUUGGAAGUAAAAUUUUGAGAAAAAGUAAAUGAGAGAGUAAAAUAUUGGUGGGAAAUAGAUUUUGGGUAGAUUGGGAGGUUGGGAUGGGAGGGGAGUAAAAUUUUUGGGGAGAAAGUGAGGAGCAGUAAAAGUUUUGAGAGAAAAGUAAAAAGGUUUGAGAAUUGGGGGUAAAAAUGUAAAAUAUUAUAGUUUGAUAUUCGAAUUAUUCAAAUUAUUCGAGUUAUUCGAAUUCGAAAACUCAACUCGAUUCGAACUCGAAAUUCGAAAAAAAUUCGAGUUGACUCAAAUAACUCGAUUAACUCGAAUAACUCGGUUCGUUUAACUCUAAAUUCGAAUUUUUUUUUAUUUUUUCGAGUCGAAUUGAGUUUUGCUCACCCCUACCAAUCAAUAGUCCGUUAUGCAAAAAAAAAAUUUUAAGGGCGGAGGGAACCUGACAGGCGGCACCGGUGUAGGCACCCUAAUAAGUGGUAUCACUUUGCACCGAAGACUACACAGUCACGAGGUUUUACGGCCUGAACUGGCCAAUUCAGGCCUUACGGGUGUUAAAAAUGUUUUCUUUAUAAGAGAGCCAUGGUCCCCUCAACAAGAAAAAAGAAAAAAAUAGAAGUAGCAGCUAAGGAAAAGAAAGGGAAGAGGCAGCAAAAAAGAGAAGAGAAUAAGGGUUUUGAAAAGUUAACUGUUAUUUUUGUAAUUUUAUUUUGGUUAGGUUAGGGUUUUAGAAGGAGGAGGCAACAUAUUUUAAUACCUGUUGAGAGGACCAUGGCUCUCUUAUAAAGAAAACAUUUGAAUACCCGUGAGGAUUUAAUUGGCCAGUUCAAGCCUUCAGACCGUGUGACUAUAUGGUCUUUGACGCAAAGUGGUGCCACCUGUCAGGGUGUCUUUACCGGUGUCGCCUGUUAGGUUCCCUCCCCCCUUAAUUUUUUUUCCAUAACAGACUAAUAAUUUGAGUCAAAAAAUCAAGGGUGGUGCCGUCUUUCCACCAUCCACACCAUAUCAUUCUCGUAAAUAAUGGGAGUGGGAUACCAUUUUAGCAAUUUUUUUUUAUUUUUGUAUUAUACAAGUAAAAAGGCCAAUAUUAUUAAUAAUUAUAUACAUUAUUAAAAUAAAAAAUAUAAACUAAAUUAUUUUUCAUGGUGUUGUCAUCACUUUUGAGUUUAUGUCAAAUUAAUUUAUGACACCAACUUAAUUAAAUACAUUAUUGAUAUAUACAACUGAUGAAAGUAAAAGACAUGCAUAAUAAAAUUAGAAUGUACAAAAAUAUUAAAAUAAAACUUUAAUUAAGUGGUAAAUUGAAGGUUUUUCCAAUGUAAUUGGAGUAGAUUCAAAUAUCACUAUAUGCAUAUUUUUAUUGAUUUUUUAAAGUGAAAAGACAAAAAUACCUUCAAAUAAUAUUACUUAUUUUAAUCAUGGAAGAACAUUUAUGUAAUUUCUUAAUUGAGUUGGUGUUUGAUUUAACACAAAUUCAGUUAGAAAUUUAAAUAAUAUUUAUAUACAACUUAUGAAAAUAAUAAAGUAUGCUUUUAUUUUAGAAUAUUUUAAUUUUAAUUUCUUAAUUGAGUUGGUGUUCGAUUUAACACAAACUCAGUAAGACCCUGUCUGGGACAGUGCCAUCGAUAUAUGAUUACAUGUAAGACCACGUCUGGGACGCUGACAUUGUACGAUAUAUGUGAUUAUCAGAGUGUCCUAUCUAAUUCCGAAUGGUUCAUCGAACAAUGAUAAGUUGUGAUCGAAUGUGUAAAACGAGCUAAAAUGACCAGGUAUGAGUUUGCUUAUUAGCUACUUGAAAUAAGGUAAGUAAGUUACUUAUUAUUUGUUACAAAACAUGUAUGAUGUAAAUGGAGAAUGUAUGUGAAUAUGGAAAGUGUAUUCGGCCUUUAUAAUAUAAAAUGUGAAUGUUUUUGAAAUGAUUCUUGAAUAUGUGUAUAUAAGAUUAGGUAAUGUGAAAUUUUAUAUGCAAGUAUAUGUUAUAUAUGUAAUUAUGAUCUUGAAAAUAAAUGUGAAUAUGAUAGCAUAAAUUAGUUUGGUUAAGUUGAGUUGAUGUUAACAUUGAGUUAUUUAUUUGCUUAUGACUUACUAAGCUAUGAUAACUUACUGUAUGUGUUUGUUUGCAUUGUUUAUUAGAUUUUGGAGUCAAGUUACAAGCUCAGGAGUCAUUGUCAAAGUCUAUCACACUAUCAACUGCCUUCAGUAUUUUUUAAGUUGAAUUUUCAAACUUAUGGCAUGUAUAGGCUAAAUUAUAGUUUGAAAUGUUGGAUUUUGGUUUUGUAUAAUUUAAGCCAUGCGAAAAUGGCUUAACUUCUAUGCUUGAAUUUGGUUUUGAUUGAUUAUGGUUUAAGUUCAUUUUAGUUAUCAUGCUAUAUGCCAUGGAUGAAUGAUAUUUGUGAUAUGUGUUUUUGUGCAUUGAAGUUGGUUGGUGAUUUUUGGAUGUGUGCAUUUGGUUGAUUUGGAUGUGAUAUAUGGAUAGAUAAAUAUGUAUGUGAAUUCGGUUGAUAUGCUUAAUUAAGGUUUUAUUAUGUGAUUUGGUAUUAAGGAAUAUUUGGUUAUAUCCAAACAUGGUUGGAGUUCAUUUUGAUAUGCAUGUUAUAUGGUAUGAUUCAUCUUUAUGAAUGGUUUAUAUUAUUACCAAAUUGUUAAGAAGCAAGUUGGUUUUGAGUUGUAUUUUGGUAAAUGUAUAAUAUAAGUAUUUAACAGGAUUUGGUGUAUAUAUAUACAUACGAAUAUGAUGUAAUAAGUUUGAUAUGACAUAAAACUUAGUAAAAUGUAUACUUAAAUACUUAGUCAAAUAUAUGGUCUUUGAAUUAAUUAAAAAUGUAAUCUUUGUUAUAGUGCUUAAUAGGUAAUAUUCACAUGUUUAUAUUCAGUUAUGGUAUGUUAAAAUGUUAGACAAGGUAUGUUUUAUAUAUAUAUAUAUAUGUGUGUGUGUGUGUAUUGAUUUAGAUAUUUGAAAUGUAUAGACUUGUAAAGUAAUUGAAUAAAGUUGAAAGUGAAUAAUUGUUAAACAUAUUUGUAAUCGACUAAAUGCAUUAAAAAAUAACCAAAUGAAUAGUGACUUGUGCAUUAGUAAAUCAUGAAAAUUAUAUGAGUUUUAAUUUGAUGUAUAAAUGUUCUACUUGAUAGUAGACGAAUGUCGAGUAGUGUAUAGGUUAGUCCUUAAAUUGUGAAUAUAAAUUGAUUGAAUAUGUAGUAAGGUACAAGUGCCGAAUAUGAUAUGGUCCAAUUGAUAUGAUUAUAUGUACAUGGUUUUGUGAGUUUUAUUUAUGUUUGAUUUUUAGUAUGCGAUUGAAGUGUAUUGUAGUUUGUACGUUUUGCACAUUCUAUAAGUUGCAUUAAAGUUAUAUUCAGCUAUAUGGUAAUAAUGAUUAAAUCAGUUACUUAUGGUAAUAGUUGAUUGGUUUAAAAGUUUGUGCAAGUGCAUGCAUAUGAUUGUUCGAAAUUUGUGUCUUGUCUGGUAAUACCUCGUAACCCCAUUUCAGCGACGGAUAUGGGUUAGGGGUGUUACAUUAUGUGAUUAACUUGCUUAAUUAAGUGUUUGUGUUUAGGUAACCUUAUCCAAAAUUUAUGGAAAGUAUGACUAUGUAUGCUUGUUUUGAUAAAUAUAAAUGGUAAGUUUAUUUUUCAUUAUACGAACUUACUAAGCAUAAAAUGCUUACUCUAUUUAAUUUUCCCUGUUUUAUAGUGCUCAAAGCUCCCGAAGGUUGGAAGUUGGUCGGAGCAGUCAUCACACUACCUACUAUCUCAUUUUGGUAUAAAUAGAAAUCUCAUUUUGGUAUAAUGGCAUGAAUAAGCUUAUUUGGCCAAUGAUGGCUUGUAAUUUUUGUUUUGUAGUCUAGCCAUUGGAGUGGCUAGUGGUAGUCUAAGUUGGCUAUUUUUGAAGUAACAUUUUGGUAAUCACAUAAGUGUUUAUUAUGUGUUAGUUGUUGGAAUUAUGUUAGCAUAUAAGUUUAUGUUAAAAGUAAGUUUAUAUCCAUUGAUGCAUGAUAUAAUACCACAUGAUUGAUGGUAAAUUUUAUGUGAAUAUAAUGUUGGAUUAGGGGACAUAUGCUUGGGAGUUUUGGUGCAGGAAAAUGGUAAGUUUUGGGUGACAAAUGAGGCUAGGAAAUGGCCUUAUUUUGUCCACACGUGCUUGUGUCUUGGCCGUGUGUGACACAUAGCCUGUCCCAUGGGCAUGCGGUCCGACCGUGAGUUCCCUGCAUCUUAAAAGUGAGAAAUAGAAUGCUCAGAAUUGGGCACACGGGCAGAGACACGGGCGUGUGUCUCAACCGUGUGGUUGACACGGCCUUGGACACAGUCGUGUGAAAACUGCACCUAAAUUUCGAAAAUAAAAUUAGACACUACCUAGCACACGGGCGUGUGACUUGGUUGUGUGACUUCAAUUUCCUCAUGCUUUAAAUUCAGAAAGUUACACGGGUUAGGGACACGGGCAUGUGUAGUACACGGCCUGACCACACGGGCAUGUCCCUAGACCACACGGGCAUGUGAGCCUUGCAACUUUGGAAAAUUUUUGAAAUGUCAUGAAAAAUUUUAUGAGUUUCUGUUUAAGUCCCGACUUGAUUCUAAUGCUCGUAUUAGACCUCGAGUGUCAAAUUAAAGGACAUUUUGAAUGAUCUCAGUAAAUUAAUAGUAAUUUAUAAGAAUUAUCUGUAAAAUGUUUUGAAAGUUCCGAUAAUGCUCUGAAACCUUAUUCCGACGACGGAUACGGGUUAGGGUGUUACAACCUUGACCAUCAAUGAAAAACACCAUGACCGAAAGCUUCUCACCCCUUUCUUAUAGCUAUUCGGUUUUGGAAAGUUAAUUUAAGAAGAUGACCACUUUUGGUUAGUUUAUUUUAGUUUUAAUUAUUAACUUACCAUUUUAACCUUUUAGAUUCACAUAAUUUACAAUAAAAGCUAUCCAUGCAUAUCCACUAAUUUUAAAUGUGGUAUAUUUACCAUAUAAAUCCAGUAAUUUUCCUUGCUAAAGCUAUUUAAUCCACUUAACUAAUAGAACUCAACUUUUGUACCUUUAUCAAUUUCGUCCUUUUUACCUAAUAACCAUUUAAACUUCAAAAUUUCUUAAAAAAAAUUUAAUACUACCUUAAAUUAACCCUAUAGAAAUUAAAUAAUUAAUUAAAUAAUAAAUCACUCGUUAGAUUCGUGGUCUUAAAACUACUACUUUCGACACCACUAAAAAUGAACUGUUAUAAAAAACAUGAACUGACUAGUAAAGCGUCCAAUAGAGAACGAAUUAGGGUUUCUUGGAUGGAAAGAAACUAUCCUUGGACCAUAAGAAAAUGCCCCAACCAGAUCUGGAAAAGCAAAACACAAAAUAAAUUUGUUAGAAGUGAUUUUAAAGACAAAAGCAAACUGUUUUGUGCAAGAAUGUUUGAAACAACAAGAAAAGAUUAAAACUCCUAAUUUUGAUAUGUUUCCUAAUGAAACAAGAUAGAAGAACGUCUCUCUUGAAGUAAUUUUAACCUCGAACCAAAGUCAAUAAAAUCAGUAAGCGAAAACAGUAAGACUUAAAUUAAAAUAAACAAUAAAUGAUAAAUUAAUGCUAAAAAAGAGAAUAUAACAUCCUAAGAAGCCUUAGAAACAUUAAGAAUCCACAACUCCUUUCAAUGGCUUUGGUUCCUCCUCCAAGAAAGAGAUCUUGGUAAGAAAAAGCUUGGAGAUAAUCCUCACAACCUAAAAGAUUGUUAAAACAACUUUUAAAAGAAACUCAAUGACAAUUUUUGAAGAAAGAGUCAAAAAUAAUUCCUAUUAACUUAAAAAAACGAAAAUUAAUUGUUCAUCUAUAAGGGUGGGCAUCCAUGCUACCUAUAGGCCCCAAAAUAAGUUUUCCUAACCCUAAAAGAAUAAUUAACAUGACAAUUCAUCAAAUAAAAAAAACAAAAUAAUUUUAAGUGUGGACUUUUAAUGGGAAUUCAACCAAAGGAAUUAAACGAGUUCAUUAGGCUGAAUUCUUAUAUGAUGAUCUACCUAUUAAAAUUAAAUUAGGCCUAUAGUUUAAAUAGUUUACAAUUUGGGCCACUUUGAUAAUUUGGCCUGAUAUUCAAUUAAAUUACUUUCCAAACUUCAGGAUAGACUUAUAGACAUCUUAAUAGCCCAUUUUUUCAAGAACUUGAUCUUGUGAUCCGUUUGCUCUCGAAAUUGGCUUAUUCAAGCUCGUACAUGAAAUCCAAUACGCCUUGGUUACAAGAUUCGAUUUCUUGGACCAAGAUUUGAAAUCUUGAUUUUCUUGGUUCUUGAAAUUAUCUAAAAUAGCAAAAUUAGACUAAGAUUUCGGUUUCUUGAUUUUCUUUAAAACAAGAAAUUGAAUCUUGAUUUUCUUUUUUGGUCGUGUGUGCAUCUAGUGCCUUGAUAAUGAAGUCUUGGAUGGUCUUAUUCAAUCUUGCUUGGAUUUUUUUAGCCUUCGACCUUGUUAUUAGGCCUUGAGGAAAUUUGAGCCCAUAAUGUUCAUGAGCCUAUUUUUGGAUUGAGACUCACAUCAUAUUCCCUCUCGCUGGCUUAUUUUCCUAUUAAAGGAACAUAAUUUGCAUAACUUAGACACACAGUAAAUUAAUAUAAAAAAUCAAAUUGUUAAGUUGUAGGAGUCGUGUGUAUUUCUUUCAACAAUCCUCUACUUAUUUUUUGGGUAUUGUUAAUCCAAUUCCUGACUGAUAUUGAAAUGAGUCGAUGAGUGAAAUUUGUUAUUUAUUAUGAUGGUCAAAUCUAUAGUACAAAGGUUGGGUGAUAUUUGUAGGAGCACAGUCCAUGGAAUUGGUGUUCAAUCAUACCAUUCAAUUGCGUGAGCUAUGGCCAAAAAUUAGGAGGAAAGUCGGAGGAUCAACCUGGAGAAGAAUUUUAAGGUUGCAAUGUUAGAUAUCUUGCUUCCAUUGACCUAUUAUAAGUAUGACCUAUUUGAUUUGAAUGACGAGGUCCAGCUUGAGACGGUUAUAUCAUCGUUCAUUUCAAGGGAAAAUGCUAUAAUGGACUUAUACGUCGAGUUUGCCAAGGUUGAUGCAUCUGGCCCAUCUUCGGCCACCAUUGCAUUUAGUGUUGGAAUUGGAGCUGAAGCAGAAAGUCCUACUACACCAUUGUACGGUGGGUUCACUAGCGUGUUACAAAGCUACUACUACGAUGUCCUCGAAACAUCUAUUGGUAGACACUUGUCGAUUUUUGGCACGAAUCUAAACUUCGACAGCCAUACCAGUCGUAGUAUGAGCAUAAUCCUAAUCUCAAUAUUCGGGUUCGACUUUCAAUCAGUACAUUCAAUUUCAACUUCUGUGCUACUCAAUUUCAUGAGCUGGAAGCACUUAUACCAGGGGUUCAUCAACGUAUACAUGACUUACUCCAAAAUGAUGCAGAUUUUAGCCGGCACAUGGGUUAUAAAAGAACCAAUGACUUACUCCUUUCGACAGGGAUUGACAAGGGUACAUUGAACCUCUUUGCUUGAAAGGGACAAUAAAAGUGCAGGUGAAGAAGAAGAUAUGGCCAUGGAAGAAGAUGUAGAUAAGGAAGAAGAUACAAGUGAGGAACAAGGGACAACGAAUGCAGAUAAUGAGGAGGAAUCAACAUUAGUUGUUAAUUGUCGUUGUUCAGGAUGGUAAUUAGAGGAUUCUAUCGGUUGUGUCUACAAUAACUUCUAGAGAAACGACAGACGACUGAGAUUUCUUCUUGAGCUAAUUACGCUGUCGCAUUUGCCCGUAGCCUGACAUAUAUGUCAUAUCUGAUAGGGGAACCGAAACCCUGUCAACAAUUGAGUGGCAUGGUAGCUUUUGGAUCACACCCAUCAUAGGUACUGCUUACAACAUGUCGGAUCCAACUACCACACAAAAUAGCUAUCGAAAAGUGAGUGAGAUGCGGUCAUUGACAUGGGUAUGUAAUUGACACUACCUGCACCUUUCACUUGUUGUUUGCAUUCAUGGGUAUGCUUUUCUCGAAAUAAUAUAAGCUUGUCCAACAUCGAUUCCAUGAAAUGUUGAACAACUUGGGCGCCAUUAAUAGCUACGAUGUUGUAUACCUCGCCAACAUACCCUUUGAAUAGUGGAUCUAAUCAUAUGACAGAGAUUUACAGUAUAAGCACAUGACGUCCAACUUAGUCAAGUGUAUCAAUUCCGUACUAAAAGGGAUGCGUUACUUGUCGAUAACCUCUGUUGUGAAAGAAACAUACUUCCACCUGGUUGCGUUGUUUCCAAAUAGGGCGGUGACAUACGUUGGACAGAUAAUAGGCGACCAUAAUUGGUGUGAAGAUGUAAUGAAAGAAAUCAGACGAAAUAUGGCGAAAAUGAACACUGUAUAUGGUCAAUUUAUGGUUUCUUUAUUUAUGUCAUAUAUGUUUACAUCGUAAUAGUAAUAAAAAGAAUACAUCAAUUGUGCCGUAGGGAAGAAUGUGUACCACAAGACAGUGGAUGACGCUCGCGAGGAGGAUUUUUGUGCACAAUCGGAGAUGCGGGCUUAAAAACUUUAUCGUUGUCGUUGUCCUUAUCAUCAUCACCUUCACCUCCAUCCUCUUGCUCAUUUUCGUCUCCAUUGUCAUCAUUGUGUUCGUCUUGGUCUUGGUUUUGUUCUUCUUGUUUGUCUUCAUAUUCAUCUUCGUCUUCACCUUUGUCUCCAUCGUCUUCCUACAUGCUCAAGUGUGGUGUCGUCCUAGUCUCCCUUCGUGUAUUCUCUACUCCACUGGUAAACGAUUGCGCCAAUGACCCACCUCGAUAAAAUAAUGAUGUGGACGGUGUUUGUGUUACUAUUGAUAUGUAACCAUAAGGUGCCAUAAAACUCGGAUAUGUCGACAUUGACCCGGGCAUCAACAUUGACAUUGACAUUUGUAUAGGUGUUAUCAUCGAUGACGAUGCAUGUAUCGGUAUCUGGCCUGACAUUAAGGUCGACAUCGACAUUGGCAUCGGGGUGUAAAAUACAGGGGACAUUGGUACCCCGAAAUAUGUACCUACAAAAAUAAAAGAAUCGGGCAUGUGCGACAAUGUUGCGUAGUACAGUGAAUGUGGCGUUAGUGAAAUGAACAGGAAUAAGUAGAGAGAAUUGAUCGGGAUAUUAUGUAGACAUAGGCAACACUUCUUUAGGCAGAGCCAAUAACGAACUCACUGUGCAAUCGCGUCUGGCCCUACGCUAUUGCUGGGGUGGUCUUCGUUGCCUUUUCUGACAAUUUUGCUUACUCCUCACCUACACCAGUAGCAGGUACGGCUUGCCAGCAACUUUGAACAACAACAAGUACUCCAAACAAGCUGCCGUGUCCCUUGAGAAAAAUGGUUCGCGGAUAGGUAAAAAUUUUAUCUUACGAUCCUAAGCCUCAAUGUAGUCCUUGUGCAUCUCUCGCUAAUCCUCGUCAUUUUACCCUCGCAUGUCCAUCUUGUGCAGCUCCUUCAACUCUCGCAAUGCCGGUGGAAUUUAUUGUCGAUACCCAAACUACCGUAUCACCCAAUUCAAUUUGUGUAUUUCCACUAUCGCUUACACUGUCAAUGGCACCUUCACGUACCACAUCUCUUGAUUAACCAUGUAAUACCCCAUACCCGUAACCCACGCUAGAGCGGAAUACGAGGCAUUACUUAACUUGAUCUCAUGCACACAAACGUUCCCCAAGUCAUCAAGACUUGGUCCAAUUUAGAACUUUUUCAAUUUCUACUUUAAACUUCUUAUUAUGGGCUUACGAACCCCAAAUCAACCAUUGAGAACUAUUCGGGAUCAACCCAGGUCCUUAAACCAUCUAUAGAAAUUUUGACUUUGAAACAGGGCACACGCCCAUGCAGAAGGGAAACAUGCCUGUGGAGCCAUUUCAACAUGGUCGUGUUGAUGGUCUAUGUGGCUCACACGGCCUAAGCAAUACAAGGACACACCCGUUCCCUCCACCUAUGUGGAAUUAAUUCUAAAUGCACACCCACAGGGGUUUUCACACGGCCUGGCAUACACCCUUGUCCCUAGUCUGUGUCCCUUACACGGCCAUGACACGCCCGUGUCCUAGCCCGUGUGCAAAAACAUGGACAUUCUGUCAGCAUUCCCAAAAUGUCACACGGUCAAGGCACACGCCUGUGUGCUAGGCCGUGUCUAUCACACGACUGAGACACUCUGCCUGUGUGUUUACUACCAUGCAUACUAACUUGAAAAUUUUAUGUGCAGGGGACACACGGCCAGACCACACGCCUAUAGGGCAGACCGUAUGUCACACACGGCCUAGACACACGGGCGUGUGUCUACCCAUGUGGAUAAUAUAAGGCUAUUUACCAAGCCUCUUUACCACCCUUACUUACACAACCUACACAUUAGCAACCAAAUCAGCCAUAAUAAACCACAUUCCAUCUAUGCAUUUUACUCAUCUAUGAAAAUAACAUCUUUGUAUAUAAAUCAAAAUGAAUGUUAGCCAUCAUUCAAGGCUUAAUACAAAAAUGAGGACUUAUCCCAAGCCAACACUUUUGACCAAAUUAAUAAUAACACAAAACACAAGUCUAGUUCCCUAUACAUGCUAUAUUCAAAAAUAUAAAUCAAACUAUACCGAAUGCUUUGAUUGAUAGUGUGAUCGAUAUCUCUGAUUCCCGUUGAUCCUUGAGCUAGAUAGGCGGAACUAUAAGAAAAUGGAAAAGGAGAGAGAGUAAGAAUAAAGCUUAGUAAGUUGCACAUAAAUAAAUAUACAACAUAACUUUACCAUUCAUCAACAAGUAUCGUAAAUACACAAGUGGCAUAAGCAAAACUUAAUCAUCUUCAAAACACCUCAUAUAACAUAUAUUGAGCUUACAAUUCAUACAUACCUUAUAAGUACCUGUGCCACUCACAACACGGUUAUACUUUCCUUGUUAACUUGGAAUCAUACUUUCAUCGUUGAACCAUUUGGAACACUAUCAAAUAUUCACUAAACCUCAAACAUGGGGUAAAAUGCCGAUGCCAUGUCCCAGACAUGGUCAUACACUGACACAUCUCAUAGCCGAUGCAUGUCCCAGACAUGUCUUACACUAACACUCAUCUCAAUGCCGAUGCCAUGUCCCAAACAUGGUUUUACACUAGCUCUUAUAAUGUGGCCGAUGCAUGCCCCAGACAUGUCUUACACUAGCUCACAAUGACCCAUAUAUUAUGGCAUGAAUAUCCGAUUUAUUUCCUAGGUUCAAACGGGAACUUUAUUAUCUCUAUUACCAUUAUGCUUUUCAAUUCCACAAUCAAUAAAUUCAUACUAUAUUAAAUUCAGGUACAAUUCAAUACAUACAUUAACAUUGUAGUUGUAUUAUUUACAUACAACUUACCUCGGAUUACAAAAUGUGACGACUAGUCGAUUUAGUCGAUUUGCUUAGCUUUCUCCCGGUCUAGGUUCAGAUUCGGUAUUUCUUGAUCUAUAAUAGCAAAAUGUACUUAUUUAGUCACUAAUUAAAACUAGGCAAUUGAAAAUUUAUAUCUUUGGUAAAAUGACCAUUUUGCCCCUAGACUUUGACAAAAUAAUCAUUUUGCCCCUAGGCUCGAAAAUUGAUUUUUAUCAAAUUUAUUCAUAUAUUAAGCCUAGACAAACCUUUUUACUCUUACAGGAACUUCAAAUUCCCACUAUUUCACAUACUUAACAUCUAUUUUACAACUUAUGCAAUAUAGUCCUUUUAAGUGUUUUCAUGCUAACACAUUUCACAAAAGUUGUUUAUAAGACACCCAAGACGCAUUUUCUUCCAUAAAAACUCAGCAAAAAUUACAAAUACUUUCAUAACAAAACCCUACACUCUUAAUCAUUUUGCAAAAUAAUACCCUCAUUUGAAAGCUCAUGCUUUAAGGGUCUCAAAAAUGCAAAAAUCAUCAACAAGGGGUAGGAAAAUUACUUACUUGUGAGUCAACUAAGUAGCUGAAAUUUCAAGCUUCAAAACUCUUCUCUUUGCUGAUAUUUUCGGUUGAGAAGGAAGAAUAGGUGAAAAAGAUGAAGACUAGGCACUUAGGGUAUUAUUUUAUCACAUAAUAUGACAUCACUUACCUAACAUUUUGACCAUUCACUCUUCUUUGUCUCAUGGCCAGCCAAGCUCUUUUAAAAGGGUCUAAUUGCCCUUUAAAUACCCCUAAAUUUUAUUCUCUAGCUAUUUGACACCUUUAGCUAUCAAAUUAGGACUUUUGCAUUUUAUGCGAUUUAGUCCUUUUUCGCAAUUAGGCUCACAAACGUUAAAAUUACUCCACCAAAUUUUUCAUGCACUCUUAAAAACUUUCUAUACAUCUAAAUAAUUAUAAAAAAGUUUAUUCGACUUCGUAUUUGUGGUCCUGAGACUACUAUUCCAACUAGCCCCAUCCGAGCCAUUACAGACCAACACUUUUGGCGGGAUGCAAGAUAUGAUAUCAGUGUCGGCGCAUGACAUCUAUUCAAAUUGAAACGCACAGUAGUAAAUUUUGUUAGUAUGAAAUUUCAUUUUACAAAUCAUUGUGUAUUUAAUAUAGGUUUGAAAUAAUAAGUAACUAACAUUGGCUUCCGAGCGUUGAUCUAACAGCAGCCUAAUAUCUUCCAGCUCCUCGAAUAGUCCUACGUAACUCGAUCCAUAAUUCCACGUAUAAAAGCGAUAUGUUAGUUCAAACAUAUAAUGAAUAAAAAAAUUUACUGUAGAAACUACGUAUUUAUUAAUAAAUGGUUUUUACCUUGUCACUAAUGGAAACAUGUAUGGGUUGUUCACUUGGGGACGUAGAAAUGGUAGCCGCCACCAGGCCUAAGACUGCAGCAAGAGUAGGCAACCACCGAUUGACAUCUUAUCCGAUUUCGUGGCCCAACACAACUUCUGAUAUAAUGUGGCCAACACGGCUGAUCCUCAACUUAGUUGUCCACAUUCUUUAAAGUCUACUAGUUGUAGUAGCCACCUUAUGUGUACCAAAUUUUGAGAUUUAUUAAGCAUUAGAAUGCUCCCGAUUGACUGAAGGAUGAAUGCUUUGGUAUAUUGUAUUUUGUCGACCUCGGUCGCAUUUGCAGGAAGCUUAUUUACAUUUUCGCCAUCAAAUUCAUCGAUAUCCAGCCACCAUCAAACUUGUUCGGGACUUUCCCUAAUAAUGUCGUGCAGAGAUCCUCUUUACCAGAAACGAUCGCUGCUCUCCCGUGAUGACUAGCCCAUCCACCAGCAGACCGAGUUGUAACACCAUGUCCUCCAGUAUGAUUGUACACUUGCCGCAUGGAAAAUGGUUGUUUAUAUUAAUAUUAAUUAUUAAAAUAUUAAAAAUAAUUUAUUAAUAAAAUUUUAAUAUAUUAAUAUUUUAAAUUGUCAAUAAUUUCAAAAUUAUCUGUUUUAGUCACUGAACCAUUAAAGUGACUAACAAAAGAUGACUCGUCACUUUUUUUAAUUAAUAUAAUAAUAAUUUUAAUUUUAAAAUUUUGAUUAAAUUAACCUUGUUUUUAUAUAAAAAUUAUAAUUUUUAAAAAAAAUUAAGAAUAUAUAAAUACAUAAAAAUUAAUAUAUAUAAUUUAAUUUAUACAUAAAAAUAAAUAAAUAAUUUUCGAAAUAUUCUUAAAAAAUUGCUUCGAAGCUUAAUUAUUUAUUAUUCAAAUUUUAUUUUUGAAAAUUAUAAAAAAUGAUAAUUUAUUUUUGAAAAUUACAAAAAAAUUUAAAUGAUAAGUACGUGAAACUUGAAUAAUUAAAAGUCAUAAUUUUUUUUAAAAAUAUGUUUGUUUAGAAUUUUAAGUAUUUAUAAACUUUUAUGAAUUUUUAAAAAGAUUUUAUGGUAUUUUCUUUUGAAUUUCUUUUUUCUUUUUAUGAAAUUUUUUAUAUUUUUAAGAGAUUUAUGUUAUUUCCAAGAAAAUAUCAUAAAUUUCAUAAAAUCUAAAAUUUUGUGAGAACAAAACACAUUUUUAAUUUUUUUCUGUUUGAACAUUUUUAUUUUUAUUUUUUUAGAAAAAAAAACCCUUUUAAGCAAAUGAAACAAGUGACUUCAACCCUGCCGGGCUGGGACAUUUACAAACUCUCCUUUAUGACUUCAACCGCUUCUCCCUACUUUGUCUUUUUAUAAAAAUGUGUUUGUUUGGGCUGGGACAUCUACAAACUCUCCUUUAUUACUUCAACUGCUUCUCCCCUCUAUUAUUGAUUACUUUGUCUUUUUAUAAAAAUGUGUUUGUUUGAAAUUCUAGGUUUUUAUAAAAAGAAAAAAAUUCAUAAAAUUUUAUAAAAACUUAAAAAUCUAAAUAAACACAUUUUUUUAAAAAAUUAUGAUUUUUUAAUUAUUCAAGUUUCACAUCUAUAUCAUUUAAUUUUUUAUAAUUUUCAAAAUAAAUAAUUGUUUUUUAUAAUUUUGCAAGUUUUAGUUUUUCGGGAUUUUUAAUGAUUUUGUUUUUGUCUUUUUAUUAGGUGCCGUCAAGAGGUUCGCUUUUCAAGGUAAGUAUGCCUACAAAUUACAAUAAGCCAAAAUAUCAACUAUUAAAAAUUUGAUUACGUAGAAGCACGUUUUCAAAAAUAAUUAAAAAUUUGCUGUGAAAGUGUUAUUAUUAUUUUUUUAUUCUUUGGCUACAUAGUCAUUAACACAUUGAGUAUUAAAAUAUUAAAAAAUAAUUUAUUAUUAAAAUUUAAUAUAUUAAUAUUUCGAAUAAAAACAUUUUAAAUUACAAAUAGUUAGUAAAUUUAUUCAUGGAUUCGUUAUCCAUCCAAGUUUGAAGACUCAGCCAAAAUUUAAGAAGAUUUGAAUAAAAAUAUUAGUUUCAAAAAAUAAACUUCAGUAAAAAAUUAGACUCGUUUAAAAUAUAAACUCGUGCUUGAACAUUUAAGGCCCGAGCUUAACCUAUUUUUUAAGUUUAUAAUGUUUUAUAUUAUAUUAUUAUUGUAUAUUAUAUAAUUCAUAACACAUGAAAAUUACAUUUAUAGUAGUAAUGUAAACAUUAAAAAAAUGUUAAAAUAACUAUACAUAAAAAUUUUAAUAAAUAAAAAAUAAAAAUAUUAAAUUAAAUUAAAUUUUUUUUAUUUUUUAUUUUUUUCAAAUUAUAUAAAUAAGACUAAAAUUGUUGUGAAAUAAUAAAGAAAGAAUAAACUAAAAUGUGAUAAAAGAAAGAAUGUAGAGAGAAUACAGAAGAGAGAGUGUAUCUUCUUUUUAUAUAUAUUAUUUUUCAUGAGUACAUGAGCCCCAUAUAUAUAGGGGUUAAAAGUAACUUUUUAAUUAUUAUAGGGCAUGUAAAUGGUCAUGACCUUUUAUCUCCCAUAUUAAUGGGGUAUAGGAAAAGUUUCAUAAUUUAUGGGGUAUAUGAAGAGUUUUAUAACUUAUGGGGUUGAUAAUGACAUCUACAUAAAUAUUUCAUAACACUCCCCCUUGGAUGUUCAUUAUCUAAUUAUGCCUCGUUAAAACCUUACUAAAAAAACCCAGUAGGACAAAAACUUAGUGAAGGAAAAAAGAGUACAUAAUUAUACGUUUGAUAUGCUGCCUCAUUAAAAACCUUACCUGGAAAACCCAGUGGGAUAAAACCAAGGUUAAGGGAAAAAGAGUACAGCGCGUAUUAACUCCCCCUAAUGGCUACAUCACUUGAGAUCUCGAAGAUGACGCAUUCCAAUGUAGUAAACAAGCUUCUGAAACACUGAUGUAGGAAGCACCUUAGUGAAUAAAUCUGCUAAAUUCUCACUUGAACUGAUCUGCUUAACUUUUAUCUCCUUAAUCUUCUGGAGGUCAUUAGUGAAGAAGAAUUUUGGUGCAAUGUGUUUUGUUCUGUCACCUUUGAUGUAUCUACUAUCGAGCUGAUCAGUGCAUGCUGUAUUGUCUUCAAACAAGACAGUUGUAGCUUCCUUUCCAGAUGAUAAACCACAAUUAUUCCUUAUAUGCUGGAUCAUAGAUCCUAGCCAUACACAUUCACGACUUGCUUCAUGGAUUGCUAAGAUUUCUGCAUGAUUAGACGAGGUAGCUGCAAUUGUUUGCUUCAUUGAGCGCCAAGAGAUUGUAGUACCUCCAUAUGUAAAAACAUAUCCAGUUUGUGAUUUUCCAUUCUGAGGAUCUGACAUAAAUCCCGCAUCUGCAAAACCAAUCAACUCUGUCUUUAAUUUAUUAGGGAAAAAUAGACCCAUAUUCUUUGUGCCUUAGAGAUAACGAAAUAUCUGUUUUACUCCAGUCCAAUGUCUCCGAGUUGGGCAUGAGCUAAAUCUUGUUAGCAAAUUUACAGAAAAAGAUAUAUCAGGUCGGGUAUCGCUAGCAAGAUACAUUAAUGCCCCAAUUGCACUGAGGUAUGACACUUCAGGACCAAAAAAAUCUUCCCUAUCUUCCCGAGGACGGAAAGGGUCUUUACUUGGAUCAAGUGAUCUUACAACCAUCGGGGUAGUUAUUAGAUGUACCUUAUCCAUAUAAAAUCUCUUUAGCACCUUUUCAAUAUACGUUGAUUGAUGCACAAGGAUUCCUUCUUUUAGGUGUUCAAUUUGUAACCCCAAACAAAAUUUCGUUAUUCCAAGGUAUUUCAUUUCAAAUUCUUUCUUCAAGCACUCAACAGUCUUUUGAAUCUCUUCAAGAGUUCCAAUGAUAUUCAAAUCAUCAACAUAUACUGCAAUAAUUACAUAUCCAGAUCCAAACUUCUUAAUGAAAAUGCAUAGGAAAAUUGGAUCAUUCUUGUAUCCUUCUUUCAACAAAUACUCGCUUAGGCGAUUAUACCACAUGCGUCCGAAUUGUUUCAAUCCAUAAAGGGAUUUGUGCAAUUUGAUCGAAUAAUGUUCUCUAGAACCUGAACUCACUGCUUUAGGCAGUUUAAAUCCUUCAAGGAGUUUCAUAUAAAUGUUAGUAUCCAGUGGCCAUACAAAUAAGCUGUUACUACAUCCAUUAGGCAUAAAUCAAGCCCUUCUCUUAUAGCCAGACUUAUCAAAAAUCUAAAUGUAGUUGCAUCCACCACAGGAGAAUAUGUCUCCUCAUAAUCAAUUCCAGGUCUUUGUGAGAAUCCUUGUGCAACCAAACGUGCUUUAUACCUUACAAUUUCACUCUUUUCAUUUCUUUUACGCACAAAAACCCAUUUAUAUCCUACUGGUUUCACACCUGUAGGUAUACGGACUACAGGUCCAAACACUUCUCUUUUCGCUAGCGAUUUCAAUUCAUUUUCAAUUGCUUCUUUCCAUUUUUUCCAAUCAUCUCUUUGUUUACAUUCCUCAAUCGAUUUUGGUUCAUAAUCCUCUUUAUUAUUUAUAACAUCUAGUGCUACAUUACAUGCAAAAAUAUCAUCGACGUCGAUUUGAUUUCGGUUCCAUUUUAUACCGGACAUGACAUAAUCAAUAAAGAUCUCUUCAUUGUCAGGUACCUGAUUUUCUUCUGAAACUAUUCUUCCAGUUAUGUCUAUAGUCUCUUCAGGAGAUCCCGAUAUAAUCAUUUUUUCUUUGAUUUCACCAUCAUUAAUCUUUGCUCCUUUCUUUUUUCGAGGAUUCUUAUCUUUGGAACCAACUUCAGGCGUGUAUUAGACUCAGUAGCAACUAGAUUUUGUCCUUCUGGGACAUCAAGUUUUAUUGGAGCAUUCACAGCUGGUAUGUGUGACUUAGUCACUUUCUUUGGGUCAGAAAAUGCGUCUAGCAAUUCAUUAGCUAAACUUUGUAAAUGAAUAAUCUUUUGAACUUCUAAAUCACAUUACUUAGUUCAAGGAUCAAGAUGAGCUAAUAACAACUCUUUCCAACUAAUUUUCUUAUCCAGCUGUUUGAUUUCUCCCCCUAAUAUUGGAAAAAUUGACUCGUCAAAAUGACAAUCUGAAAAACGAGCCGUAAAUAGAUUCCCUGUAGAUGGUUCUAGAUAUUUAAUUAUGGAUAGGGAUUCAAAUCCAACAUAUAUACCGAACCUUAUUUGAGGUCCCAUCUUAGUUCUAUGUGGUGGAGCAAUUGGAACAUAUACGGCACAUCCAAAUGUUCUUAGAUGGGAAAUAUUUGGUUCCUGACCAUGAACUAUUUGUAAGGGGGAGACUUUAUGAUAACUUAUUGGCCUGAUGCGAAUUAAUGUAGCUGCAUGUAAAAUUGCAUGCCUCCAAGUAGUGAUUGGGAGUUUUGACUUCAUAAGUAAUGGCCUUGCUAUCAAUUGAAGUCGUUUUAUUAAAGAUUAUGCUAGACCAUUUUGUGUGUAAAUAUGAGCUACAGGAUGUUCAACACUUAUUCCAAUGGACAUGCAAUAGUUAUUAAAAGACUAAGAAGUAAAUUCACCAGCAUUAUCAAGACGGAUGGUCUUAAUAGGAAAAUCUGGGAAAUGGGCUCGUAAUCGAAUCAAUUGAGCAAGCAAUCUCGCAAAUGCCAGGUUGCGAGUUGAUAACAAAGAUACAUGAGACCAUCUACUCGAUGCAUUGAUUAAAACCAUAAAGUACCUAAAUGGUCCACAUGGGGGAUGUAUAGACCCAUAUAUAUCCCCUUGAAUUCGCUUAAGAAAAGUAAGUGGUUCGUUAUUUAUCUUAGCUGGUGAUGGUUGGAUUAUUAAUUUCCCAGUGAACAUGCAGCACAUGUAAUGUUUUGAAGAAUCUGUUGGCUCUUCAAUGAAUGUCCACAUGAAUUUUCAAUUAUUUUUCACAUCAUUAUUGAACCGGGAUGGCCUAACCAGUCAUGCCAAAGAACAAAGUCAUUAGUAAACUUCUGGUUUACUAUAGCAUGUGUUUCUACAGAACUGAUCUUUGUGUAGUACAAACCAGUAAAGAAUGCAGGCAAUUUCUCAACAAUUUGUUUAUUUCCUUGAGCAAUACUCGUAAUUUGAAGGAAUUCACAAUUUCCUUCGUUUAAAGUCUCAAUAUGAUAUCCAUUUUGGUGAAUAUCUUUAAAAUUCAAUAAAUUUAUUUGAGACUUAGGAGAGUAUAAUGCAUUAAUAAUUUCAAUUUUUAUUCCCCUUGGUAAUAAAAUAAUUGCUCUUCCAGAGCCUUCUAUAAUAGUUGUACUACCAGAUAUAGUGCUCACACUUUCUUCUUUCAUUAUUAAAUGAGAAAAAUAUCUCUUGUCUUUCAAUAUGGUGUGAGUAGUUGCACUGUCUGCUAGACAUAUAUUUUCACCAUUCAUAGCUGAUUACCUUUGCGAGAUAAUGUUCUUUAAAGAAACAAAAUAACCACAAAAUGUCACACAUAAUGGUGAAAACAGGUAUUCAAAGUUCAAAUUACUAAAAGGUCUAUAAAACAAAAUUAUCACAUAAAACAUAGCACUAGUAAAGGUCAUAACAUCAUUAUUAAAGUUGCUAAAUGAAACAUAGAAUAGUAGAGGUUUAUUUUACUAUUUAUCGAAAUUUGUGGCCUUAAUAAUUUCCUUCAGGGGUAGAAAGAAAAUCAGCCACUUCUAAGUGGGUUGCAUUGCCAUCAUCAAAAUCACCUUUGCCAUCUUUAUACAUAAGAUUGGUUUCUACUUUCUUUCCCUUCUAUUUUAUGAACUGCUGAUAAAGAUCAAUUAGAUGCUUUUGUGUGCGACACACAUGAGACCAAUGUCCUUUUUCUCCACAACGAUAGCAUACAUUAGUCACAUUUUCACCUUUUUCUUUCUCUUCCCUGUUACCAUUUUUUCGAUCCCACUUCUGGUAGGAAUGUGAAUUUUUAAAACGACCACCUCGACCAUAUCCAUAUCUAUGUCCGCGGCCACGCCCUCGGCUACGACCACGGCCACGCACACUACUAUUUGUAUGGUGUAUUUCUUUUAAUUCUUGCCCAUUGUGUAAACUCACAUUUGCUUCAGGAAAUGGAGCAGAGCCAGUUGGGCAUAAUUCAUGGUUUUUCAUUAGCAGCUCGUUGUUUUGCUCCGCCACUAGGAGACAAGAAAUUAAUUCAUAGUAUUUAUGGAAGCCUUUUUCACGAUAUUGUGUCUGCAGGACAACAUUAUUUGCAUGGAAAGUUGAGUAUGUUUUUUCUAACAUUUCUGCAUCAACAAUCUUCUCUCCACAUAAAUUCAAUUGUGAAGUGAUUCUGAACAUGGCCGAGUUAUAAUCACUAACAGACUUAAAGUCUUGCAAUCUUAAAUUCAGCCACUCAUAACGAGCUUUAGGCAAAAUCACAGUUUUCUGGUGGUCAUAUCUUUCCUUUAGAUUGGCCCAAAGAAUUUGAGGGUCCUUAACAGUCAAAUAUUCGGUCUUUAGACCUUCAUGGAGGUGAUGGCGAAGGAAAAUCAUGGCCUUGGCCUUAUCUUGUGUACUUUCUUUAUUUCCCUCCUUAAUAGUCUCACCAAGACCCUUUGCAUCUAAGUGAAUUUCAGCAUCUAGUACCCAUGAUAAAUAGUUAUUUCUAGUGAUGUCCAGAGCCACAAAUUUGAGUUUUGUCAGAUUUGACAUUAUAAAACUAUAAGACAAAAUAUACAAGUCAAUAAUGUAAAAUAAAGCAUGUUAAUAUGCAAAUGAAAUAACACAUAUGCAAAUGAAAUAGAUCAACUUGUUACCCUUACUUCACCUAAGCGUCCUUCGGCAAUCUUUAAGGAAAAAUUUGUUGGCUUUGAUUUCUUGUAUUAGAGACCCAUGCUGAUAACGUGUUGUGAAAUAAUAAAGAAAGAAUAAACUAAAAUGUGAUAGAAGAAAGAAUGUAGAGAGAAUAUAGAAGAGAGAGUGUAUCUUCUUUUUAUAUAUAUUAUUUUUCAUGAGUACAUGAGCCCCAUAUAUAUAGGGGUUAAAAGUAACUCUCUAAUUAUUAUAGGGCAUGUAAAGGGUCAUGACCUUUUAUCUCCCAUAUUAAUGGGGUAUAGGAAAAGUCUCAUAAUUUAUGGGGUAUAGGAAAAGUUUUAUAACUUAUGGGGUUGAUAAUGACAUCCACAUAAAUAUUUCAUAACAAAAAUGAGUUUGAGUUAAUUAUUUACAAAAUAUAAAUGUAUUUAAGUAAAAUUUUAAGUACUUAUUUCAAGUAAAGCCAAAUUUGAGCAAACACAAAAAGUGUUAAUAUAUACCUAGGUCAGACUUAAAUUGCAUUGGUAUUUUUCCUAGCAAUCCAGAGUUCUCGAUUGGAAGAGAAAGAUUUUGCUUGUAAAUUGCCCUAGAGACUCAUUAUCGGCCUAACAGCAUUGUUCACUUCAAUAACUGCAAGACUAGUCUCAUUUUGUGCAGGCCAUUUCUUCGGACUUAGAGAUAGACUAAAGUUUGCAGCUUUAUCGAUUUACAUAGUAACAUGGUUGCCUGUUUCCUUCUUUGCACUUGCACUGUUGCCCCUCAACUUCGAUCUUUUAUGGGCUAUCAUCGAGGAUAUCCCACAAUGUAGUUGUUAUAGCCCAAUUUAGCCUGGGGCCCGUUGACUAAAAAACAAACAAAACUCAAACCCAAUACAAACCCCAAACCAACCUAAAACCCUAAGCCCAAUCCUAUGGCUCAAAAACCUUAACACUUUCAGCCAAAAAAACCCUAGCCUUGCUUUUGUGCCGCAGCCAAUAACCUCGGAUCCUCCAACGCCGCACGCCCGUCCCACGUUGUUGCCCCGCAACGUGCGCCUUCUACCACGCCACGUCAGUGGUAUGCCUACACAUGCACCUGCAAACAUGAAGAAAAUAGGUCGUAAAAAAGGCUAUAAAAGCCUUUGAAAAUCAAUUGUAAAGGGACUUUUUUUACGAUUUAAAUACAAAAGAUACACAAAAACAAACACAAACAGAGAUCAAAAGCAACAGUUUUUGUUAAAGGUGAUUUUCACUUGGUUUUCCUUCCUUCAUUUUUCUUUCAGUUUUGUUAUUUUUUUUUCAUUUUGAUAUACGAAAUAAAAAAGGGAAAGAAAGGAACGUUUACCUGGCCCUUCCCGUUCAUGGUCGGAGUUCUCCUCCUUUGGCGAAAUCGGCCAUUGUUUGCGCGCUGUCAGCCACCGUAUGGUGGUGGUUUGGUGGCUGCACAUUUUUGGGUUGGAACCCUAGCAGAGAGGGUUAAAAACUUAUAUAUGUUUGGUUGGCUGUAAUGGAAUAGGGUUGUAAUUGAAUAGAGCUAUAAUGGAAUAGAGCUGUAAUAAGUAAUUCAACUGUUUGGUUGAAUGGAAUGGAAUAGAACUGUAAUAGUAUUCUUGUGUUUGGUUGAAUGGAAUGAUGUUAUAAUAGCAUAAGAAAAAAAACUAAAAUGACCAGAAUACCCUUAGUAGAAUUUUUUGUUAAGGUAGAUGAUUAUUGUUAUUGUUAUUUAAUUUUAAUAACAUUAUUGUUAAAUAUAUUUUAUUAAAAAAAUAAUUUAACCAUAUUUUAACAUAAUUAUUAUUAAAUAUAAUUUAAUAAAAUAAUAUAUAAUUUAAUAACAUUCUUAAUAUAAUUAUUAUUAUAUGAAUUAAAAAAUCAUAAUAUAUAAUACUGUAAAAAUAAUAUAUAAUUUACUUUAUUAUUUUUAAACUACAGUACAUAUUUAAUGUGCUAAAAUAUCAUUAUUGAAACAAAUAAUUUAAUUAUAAACAAAAUAUCAGAAGAAUAAAUAACUUGAGAAUUAUAUUUCACAUCCAAACAUAAUAUUCAUAUAUUAACAAAAAGUUACAUGAUUUCAUUAGUUUAUAUGUCAUAAUUCGUAUGUUAUAAAAUUUUACAACAUAAAAAAGUUACAACAUUGUAAUCACAUUCUAUCAUAUCAUUAUACCAUCAAAAAGCUACAUAAGUAUGCAUAUUGUGUUAUUAUUCAGAAAAUCAGUGUUAAUUCCUUGAGAGCGACCACCUCUUGUUCAACUUCUUGAGUUUCUAAUCUGCUACACUAAAACCGUACGUUGAUUGAUUUGAUUUUCUAUGUUCUGAAAAUGGUUCUCCAUGUUUGCCUGCAAACGUUGAGCUGUAUUAGCGAAAGGCUCAACUAAAUCUUCAAGAGAUUUACCUGGCUUAGAAGAAGAUGGUUGUGAGGAAGCAUGCAAGCUCAGUUCAUAGCCAAUGUCAGGAAAAUUUAAUAAAUUCAACCUCAAAAUUUACACAAAUGUCGCAAGAUAAAUUUAUUAAAUUAGGACCCAAUUGAUAGAAUGUAUAAACAAUAAGGGCUAAAUUUGUUAUUAGACCAAUCAAAAUCAUGUAUAAUCCAUGAAAACAUUAACUCCGUGAUUAAUUGUCCUUAAUUUCUAACCUUCGAAAUUGAUAAGAAAUAAAUUGCUUUGAUUUUCUUAGAAGGACCAAUUUGCUCAAUUCGAAAUUGAGAGGAAUUGAAGAGUUCUUUUUACCAUAUAUUUUUAAUGUCUAUCUAGUUAUAAUAGUUAUCAGGUAAAGGCAGCUCAAAUAGAUUUAAGCAUAUAUUUGACCCCAUAAUCUCUUAAAACAAUUAACAGAUAGAUAAAUGCGAAGUAGAUUUAGACAAAAGACAAUUUAAAAGCAUAAUAGCCUAGAGAUAAACAAUCUUUUAGGGGCAAAAUCUGUUUUAGAAAUUAUAAAAACUCAUCAAUCCAAAACAUGUGGAUCAUCUGACCACUUUCAUUACUAGACCUUAUUGUUGUUAAACUACUUGGCAAUUACAUAAAGAUGUAUAUAUAAACUUCUAUAUAUGAUCAACUUUUCUGGGGGUUAAUCAUCCAAUAAAAGCAAACAUGGUCACCUUACAGACUAUACAUAUCUACCUACCACGUCUUUGUUUCCAAUGAAUACCAGCAUUGUACUAUUCAUUAAAGGGACUAUCUCUCACCUUCUAGUUAUAUAUUCAUCAAAUUUCCAUUGCUUUAUAUCCAAAAGAGUUUCAAGCCUAAAGCUUCAUUUGGAUGGGCGAUUGACUGGGGUGCGGUGCAUUUAACUUACUUUUUGUCUCACGCUACAGUAUUGCUACAGUACCUAAUCUUACCGCCACCGCUGUUUUUACACUAACCGCAGCUAAACGCACCGCCAAUCCAAACUCACCUUAAAUCUUCCCUCUUUUUCCUUUCAUCUCAGAGUUCUUUCUUAUUAACUUUAGAGCAAAGAAAGAUGGUCAGCGCUAAGAAGCCUAUCAAGUUAGUAAGAAAAUGGAAAAAAAAUGGCUGCAAUCAGGAGAAAGAGGAUCACACCAUCAAGUGCCACCUCAGACACUGGCGCAAACAGUUGCAACACGUUGACAACAGUUGAGCAGGGCGAUUUUGUUGUAUACAGUGUGGAUCAAAAACACUUUGUGCUUCCAUUGGAAUAUCUCAAGAAUGAAAUAGUCAUGGAACUAUUUAACUUGGCUGAAGAAAAGCCUGGUCUAUCAAGCAAUAAAGCUUUCAUCUGCAUGUAUUUAUAAGAAACUCGAUGCCUUUGGAAGGAUUCCUGUUAAAUAAUGAGCCACCUUUCUGCAUGUAACCCAAUAAAGUUGGUCAGUAAAACUAAGCUUGUAAAAGAAAAGGAGAGCUACACAUAAAAUUACGCUACAUAAAAUUACAUGACUGAAGAGAAGUCAAUAGUAAUAUGGCAAAUUAUAAUGAUAUAUUUAGGCAGCCCUCUGUGACAGUUUCAGUACUAGAUAAGUAACUGCUACUUGAAGAACCACUCAUACUUAUCCCAACAUAAAAAAAUUACUGACUUGGAGUUCAAUCUUGUAAGCCCGGCGUUGCUCAAGCGUAGCAGUAUCUGACAAUUCAAAAUUCAUUUCUAGAUGCAACUCACAAUCAGGGACAACUCCAUUUUCUACAAUCGAGGUUGAAAGUCUCUCCGAUGAAGUGUCACUCUCAAAGCUUCUAGACAAGUCAGAAUUACUACUUCAGCUCUUGAUCCAUCCAAGCUCCCAUUGACUUAAUGAUGCCAACUAAGCACUGCACUGAUUAAUGCCGGAGAAAAAUAUCCUAGGAAAGAGUAUUCCAAUUUCAGCUUUCAACCCUGACCUAAAUUUUGUUAACAAGUUCAUAAAAACAGAACACUGAAGCUAGAAAACUGACAUUACUGACUUGUAGAUCCAACUAAAGUACUAGAAUUUAUAGUACAAUAAUAGAAAAUCGAAGGCAUCUUGUACUUGGAAGAGGAUGCAGAUACAUAUAUAUCUAUUUCUAACUCCAUUUAUACUUGAAGGAGCUAUCUAUACUGCCCGCUAGCAGAAUUUCUAGUUCCAUUUGACCUUUUAGUGUCUGGACUUCAAUUUGUGUCUGCUCCAAAGCACUAUAAUGUAUAUUUCUUAAUAAAUUUUCGUUUGUUGCACCAUAUCUCCAAAUCUGAAAUACUGUAAAAUAAAAUAAUGAAAAUUAAGUUAUUAUCAGUAAGAAAUUUGGGAAUAAAACUCUGAUUUAAAGAAUGACAAAUAUUGCAAAAGGGAUAUGCGUGGGUAUUACAGACAAUAUAAAUUCAUCAAAAUUUGAGUUAUCUCCUCCAUUAAUUAGUUUAUUUUUGUCGUCUCCAGCAGCAAAAUCGAAAUAAUAAAACAAGGAUUAAAAAGAAGAUGAUUACAAUUGACUCCCUGCAAUUCAAUUCUAGUCCGUAGGUUUCCUAUAAGAGAAAAUGAAACAUCAUCUCCCCCCGAAGACAGAGAUUUGGGAGUUGAGUUGUAGCUUAUUUUUUUAAAAAUUUUAAAGAAAACCCAUCACCAAAACCCUUCUAAAACAAAAUUUGAUUAUUGAAGAACAGAAACCAAACGAAAUUAAACUUAAAAGAAAAAUCUGCUAACCUGAAAGUGUAUUGUUGUAAUAAAAGAAGCAAUUUUGAACGCAUUUACAGAGAAAGUUUGAAGGAGAUUUUGGGAAGAAUUUUCUUCAUUUCUAUUCAGCGAUGGUUGGAAUAGUCAUUCCAAGCUUUCAGCGCUGAAUCCCUAUUACGUGUUUGAGGGAAUAGAAACACUUUAAGUAAUGCGGCCGAAUGAAGAAACGGUGAACCAAACAAAAGCAUUACUAGUCAUCAAAAAAUAAGGAGGGAAUGGAAUAGCCAUUCCCUCCAACCAAACAUUUAAGGUUUUCAAAAAAAAAAAAAGGUUUUUUAAUGUUUUAAAAAAGAAGUCAAAGUGAAGGCUUCAUUUGUUUUUAUUUUAUUUUCAAAAGCAGUGUCUGGGAAGAAGAAAAAGCAGUCUGUACGUUGAAUAUAGGCUGGAAUCGCGCAUGUUCCUUUUAAAUGGAUAAUUUGCGCAGCCAGUCCCUCCUUAUUUGCACCACCCUUGAUUUGACCCUAUUUUAUUUCUUUCAUUUUUGCCCUGAAGUUUGUGCAUCGUUCCAAUUUAGUCCGAGCAUGAGUGUUGUUUUUUGGGGUUGGGAACAUUUUCAUUUCUAGCCCUUAUACAUUCGCAUGCAUUGCGCUUUAGUCCCUAUUUCAAUUUCAAUGGUUUUUUUAUUUGUUAAUUGUCUCUCUUAGUUUGCUUUUAUUUCAAUUAAGUUGUUUUCUCAUUUUAAUUUGUAUAGUUCAUUAUUUCUUUAAAUUCAUUUGGGCAUUCAUCUUUUAUUUUUUUUAUACAUACAUUUUGAAUUACUUUGAUGAAUUACGUUGUUAUUUUUGUUUAGACUAUAAAAUUAUUAUUUUUAAAAUUUCUUUUACAUAAUAUUAUUUUAAAAUUUUGUAUGAUAUUACAUUUAAAUAGCUCUUAUUUGUUAUUAUACAUAUACAAUUUAUGAUAAAAUUAGCUCUAUUCUAUAUACAUUAUUGUUUUCAUAUUAUUUUAUGUAAAUAUUUUCUUUUAUAUUUAUUGUAUAUAUAUAUUUUCUUUUAAAUUUAUUAUGCAUAAUUUGUUUUUAAGGAUCCUAUUUUUAAUUAUUAUUUUGGGUAUUUUUAAAUACUUUCACAUAUUAGUAUUUCUGUAUAUAUAUUAUUUACCUUAUUUUUUCAUUUUCAUAUAUAUAUAUAUAUUGUUAGUCAAAUCAACUUGUUUUAUUUGAGAUUAUGUUAUAUAUUAUUUAUUUUGAAUUUCUUCUUGCAUAUUAUAUAUUUUAAAUAAUCAUUCAUAUACUAUUAGUUUUUAUAUGCAUAUAAGUUAUCUUGAAUCCUAGUAUGUGUAUCCUUCUAUACAUUUUAAUAGUCUUUAGAUCGAUUAUAUCGCAUUGACUCCUAGUUUUUAUAUUGUUUUGCACAUCAUGUGUCGCUAUCAGUAGUCAGGUUUGGUGCAUGUAAUCAUGUUUUAUUUCUUGGUAUUGCAUCAUGAUUAUGAUUCCCAUAUUCUCUAAAUGUCGAUUAUCUUUUAUCUCCAAACAAAUCAAACAAGUAUAUUUUGACUCGGUUUUUAUAAUUGUUAACUUGAGCCCCCCUCAAUAUAAGGAAAUAUUUCGAAUUUGGGGAGUUUGAGAGAUCGUGCCCAAUCGUGUUGGGUUUCAAUUUUUCAUUCAACUAAAAUACGGAAUAUCCUUUUGAAAUUACAUCUAUGUUUUCUUAAAUUAAAACUAGGCAAUAUUUCGUAUUUGGGGAGCUUGAGAGAUCAUGCCCAAUCGUGCUGGGUUUCAAUUUUUCAUUCGACUAAAAUACAGAAUCUCCUUUUGAAAUUUCAUCCAUGUUUUCUUAAAUUAAAAUGAGGCAAUGUUUUGUAUUUGGAAAUUCGGUAAAUCGUGCCCAAUCGUGCUAGGUUUCGGUUUAUCGUUUGGCCGAAUAGCCAAAUAUCCUUUUUUAGUUUUAAGUGCAUGUGUUUUGGAAAUCCUGAGAUUGAUCUUGUGUCGAGGGUUCGAAAUAUUAUAUCCAAUCGUGCUGGAUAUGAUAUUUUAUUCCUUCUAAACAAGAGAAUCUCGACAUCCAAUUCAUGUUAUCUAAGCACUUUCAAAUGAAUUAUAUUUUAAAAUCUCUUCCAAAUUUUUGACUUUAGGACGUUAACUGAUCAAUACGGUACCAAUUUUGGGCGUUGCGAGGGUGAUAAUCCUUCCUCGCGCGUAACUAACUCGCAAAUCCGUUUUCUAGUUUUUCGUAGAUCAAAAACGUUGUUUUAAUAAAUCAAAAUACUUUAUUAAAAUGAUCAAUCACAAGGUGACCCGAUCACACCUAAACAAAAAGGAUUGGUGACGACUCCAUAUCUCGUUUUAAAGUCGAUCUCCGUUUUUCAAAAUAAAAAUAGUUUCGACAAUAGUUAUAAGGAGUUUACUCAAUAACUAAAUUGCUUAGUAUUUUUCGUGUUUAUCAUCAACUUCAUUGGGUGUUUCUUAAGAGAUAUAGUAUAAUAAAUUUUGAUAUGUAUGCUACUGCUUUCUUGUAAUGUUACCAAAUUGAAUUAAUACGAUUAAACUAAACUUCUUGAAGUCUCCUAAUAUAUUUGGAUAUGUUCUCAUAUCAGAUCUCCGGAUCUAAUAGAAGCAUUUACAUAUAUUUUAGAGAAAAUAAAGAACUCGAAUAAUUCUACAACCUAACAUUCAACAUGCGAACAUAGGGAAUUGGCAAAGUGCAUGGCAGGUCAAACUGAACAAACAUUACUAGAGUCCGACACUAGAGUUUACUUAUUGAUUACGGCGUUACAGAUCAACAGCGCCUAGUUUAAGCAUCAUUAGACAGUGAGUUCAGUACAACUUGAAUCCCAUGUUGUGGUUGAACUGUGAUACGAGGUGUGGGUGAGUGAACAUAGGCAGGGGAGAGAGAAAUGGUGUAUCUUUGUAGAAUCAUGGAAAGAGCAGUCUUUGUUUCAUUGAUUGCAAAGGUCAUCCCGACACAAGCUCGAGGUCCCAUUCCGAAAGGAAUAAAUGCAGCAGCAUUGUACUUGGUAGCUUUUGCGAUCCCUUCCUCGAACCUCUCCGGUUUGAAAACAUGGGCAUCGUCUCCCCAUAACUGAGGGUCAUGGUGAAGUG